UCUUAUGGAUGAGCAAAGAAAGUGGUUUCUUGAGAUGGAUUCUACCCAUGGUGAAGAUGCUGUGAA
rnacentral:pre_miRNA from 1 species